rfam:Triticum aestivum genome assembly, contig: Triticum_aestivum_CS42_TGACv1_scaffold_114407_2AS
CUAGUACUCCCUCCGUCCGGAAAUACUUGUCAUCAAAAAUAAACAAAAGUGGAUGUAUGUAGACGUAUUUUAGUUCUAGAUACAUCUCUUUAUAUCCAUUUUAAUGACAAGUAUUUUCGGAGGGAGGGAGUAGUAG